UAAAACCAAGAGCCCUUUCCCACGGAGCCGGAAGUUGGAGAGCGCGGAGCCGAGGUCCGCGAGCGGCCCCUAAGCUUCCUUCUAGAAUUCAUUCCUUGCCUGAGUGAUUUCUUCCCUUCAUCUCAUACAUUUGAGAAGAUAAUCUUUGCUCCAGCAGCCAAGGAAUUAGCCUGAAGAGAUGAGCGGUGUCGGUGGAGAAUGAUGCAGCCUCUGACUCAAGGUCUCAGAUGACAAUCCUACCCAUGGCCUCAAGCUGUGGCCUACUUGCUCAUCCUGGAAUACUCUUUAUAAAGAUCCUUGAACAAAGGUCAGUGGUUAACUUUAUGGCUUAUUCUCUGGG